rnacentral:rRNA from 1 species
AGAGUUUGAUCAUGGCUCAGGACGAACGCUGGCGGCGUGCUUAACACAUGCAAGUCGAGCGGAAAGGCCCUUCGGGGUACUCGAGCGGCGAACGGGUGAGUAACACGUGAGUAAUCUGCCCUUCACUCUGGGAUAGCCACCGGAAACGGUGAUUAAUACCGGAUACGACCAAUCCCUGCAUGGGGUGUUGGUGGAAACUUUUUUGGGUGGGGGAUGUGCUCGCGGCCUAUCAGCUUGUUGGUGGGGUAAUGGCCUACCAAGGCUUCGACGGGUAGCCGGCCUGAGAGGGUGACCGGCCACACUGGGACUGAGACACGGCCCAGACUCCUACGGGAGACAGCAGUGGGGAAUAUUGGACAAUGGGCGGAAGCCUGAUCCAGCAACGCCGCGUGAGGGAUGACGGCCUUCGGGUUGUAAACCUCUUUCAGCACCGACGAAGCGCAAGUGACGGUAGGUGCAGAAGAAGGACCGGCCAACUACGUGCCAGCAGCCGCGGUAAUACGUAGGGUCCGAGCGUUGUCCGGAAUUAUUGGGCGUAAAGGGCUCGUAGGCGGUUUGUCGCGUCGGGAGUGAAAACACCGGGCUUAACUCGGUGCUUGCUUUCGAUACGGGCAGACUUGAGGUAUGCAGGGGAGAACGGAAUUCCUGGUGUAGCGGUGAAAUGCGCAGAUAUCAGGAGGAACACCGGUGGCGAAGGCGGUUCUCUGGGCAUUACCUGACGCUGAGGAGCGAAAGUGUGGGGAGCGAACAGGAUUAGAUACCCUGGUAGUCCACACCGUAAACGUUGGGCGCUAGGUGUGGGAUCCAUUCCACGGGUUCCGUGCCGUAGCUAACGCAUUAAGCGCCCCGCCUGGGGAGUACGGCCGCAAGGCUAAAACUCAAAGGAAUUGACGG